rnacentral:lncRNA from 1 species
CACAGCUCAAACACAAACCUCCUGCAUUUCUUCAGAGAGUCCUGCAGUCGAGUCUCUCUAGUGUCCGUCGGGUCGUCAGCUUCUUCCGGUUUCUGCUCACCUUCCUCAGGAUGGACCAUCAGGACUGGCAGCGCGGGCGCAGCAGAGGUCACCGGCACUACGACGACGAUGACGAAGCUCAGCCCUUCUACAUCGGCGUUCCCGCUUCCCACAGAAGAAAAAGGCGCAGACAUCACUCUCACGCCAGCGAGGCCGACCGGGACUCCAGACGCGGCCCCUACGAGCACCACGAGCCGUCCCACCGAGGGCGUUACCACGGCAACGAGGAGCACUACGACGACGACGACGAAGACAGCCUGCUGCCUCAGGAGCCCGCCGACCCCUCAGGUCAGAACCAAAACAUUAAAGAUGACAACAAUUGAAAACCAAAACAAACAAUUAAAAAUAACAUAUUUUGGAAAUUAAAACAACAUUCAAAAAAAUAAAACACAAAAUGAAACAAAAUAAAAAUGAGACGUUUUAGAAAAAUCAAAAAGAAAAGAAAGAUUGGCUUUUCUCCAUCUGAUUAGCACAAAGUGAUUCUAGACACAUAAACUUUUAUUAGUCUGCCGACAUUUGAAAAAAACUGACAUUAAAACUCAUCAUUCAGUCAGUGACAUCCCAUAAUAUUAACCACUUCAAGUUUAUUCUUUUAUUACAUUUAUUUUUUACUUUUUCUUUUGAUUUCUGUAAAAAUUACCUCAGGUUUUGUUCAGUUUCAUUUUUAGGAAAUUUAGCUUUGAUUUCUAAAACAUAAUGUUGUGUUUUUUAUCAUUAAUAUUAAUUUUAGCAUUUUCAUUGCAUUAUUCAUUAAGUCAGGAUUGUUUAAAGCAGGGAUCACCACCCUUUUUGAACUUGAGUGCUACUUCAUGGGUACUUCGUUAUAUGAAGGGCUACCAUUUUUAAAUAACAAAUUUUGUUUAGUUAUAGUUAGUUAAACAUUAUUAAUAAUGAAUAAUGAUACUCCUCUAUGCAAAGACACUGAUUUCUCACUAUAAUUAUCAACAAUGACAACAAGCUAGGAAAGAAAUUUCAAUAUUCAGGACUUUAUUAAUCAGAUGUUCGCUUAGAUUUCAUGGGAAAAAUGUCCCAUUUUCCCUGUGUUGUACCAUUUUAAUCAAUUAUAUAAUGUUAAAGAAAAAUCAUAUUACACAUUUUUAAACAAAUCUUGUCACAUUUUGAACUAAAGACCAAAUCUGCAACAUUUUCUACUAAAUUAAUGAUCUUUGAACUGGAAUAGGUCAGAGGUCACCUAAACUUAUCUGAAGUUCGUGUAUCAUCAACAUAUUUGUAAGACAUUUUCAUUUUUAAAUCUAAGUAAAUGCAAGUGUAAUUAAAAAAAUAUCAACAGAAUUUAAUUUUAGAUGUCGCUCACAAGUGUGUUAAUUUUAGAAGAGACCUGAGGGCACCUUGUGGGGGCCUCGAGGGCUACCUGGUGCCCGCGGGCACCACGUUGGUGACCCCUGGUUUAAAGAUUUAGUUGAAGAGUAAACUUUAUUAUGCAUGCCUAAUAAAGUCAGGCAUGGAGCAGUUGAUUCAUGCCGAAUAUUUGGAAUCAUAAAGUUAAAGUCCCGUUAGUGUUUGGGGAGCGGUGAGCUGCAGACACAGCCGCGCUCUGGAACCGACCCCUUAACGCUGAGUGUCAGUAGAUUUGAACCCGUGAUCUUCUAGUCGCAGGGUGGACACUUUCCCACAAGGCCACUGAGCUGGUCUGAUAUUUAUUCUACAGCGUAAACAUAACAUUUUGAGUUUUGGUCCUUUAUUUAGUCUGUUUGCAUUCACACUGCUGUCAAAUCACAUCCGAGUUCACUUGCAAGCAAGCAGGCAUCAUUUUUUGGGGUUUGUUUGGUUCACAUCAAUGUUCAGGUGACUUGGGGAGUUUCCACACCUGACAAAGGAUCCAGACUAUGAAAGGAACCAACUAAAAAACGUUUUUCGGUACAAGUCUGCUACCUUUUCUACUUCAAACACGGAUGAAACCCCUUCAGGCUUCUCCAGGUGUGCUGUAACACGGAUCAUUACCUGCAGCUGUGACCAUCUGUCACGACUCCGUACAGAAAGGUUGGACCCUUUUUAGCCCAUUACACUAAGUCAGUUCAAACAGCAGAAAAAGGUUCAGGUCAAACGGUUGGUUUUGUGGUUGACCGGUAAGAUCUUCCGGGAUGGUUUGUUUCGUCACUUUUGACCUGGUCUGACGGCUGCUGUGAGGCAGAUAAUCUAUACGUGUUCUUGUGCAGAGUAUUUCUGCAGCAUGGCUGCUGUUUUCCGAGGGCCCGUGAAGUCUGAAGCUGGUAAGCUGAUUAGAGGUGGGGAACUGUGAGCCGUGCGUGAGAGGGUGAACUGUACGGGCACGUUUGCCUCACUUCUGGACAGGAUCGCUGUUCUCACCGAAGUGGAGGGUUUGGGCUCCGGUGUCGGACUUUGAGGAGUCUGCGGGGAGACGCGGCGUUGGCGAGGACGUCCUUCCUUUCCUGGACGCUGAGCACGAGUGUUUGGAGGGCACUCCAGCUCCCCUCCUCUUACUUCUUUGCUGCUCUGCACAUUUUUGAGGAUUUCCACCACAGCUCACGGUCCUCCUGUGACCAGCGGGAAGGUGCAGGAACCAAACGCCAACCCCGCCGGGUCAGCUGAUCUGAGACGAAAUCUCAGAGAACUCUGGAGAAACAAACUGAACAGGAAAAUUCUAGACUGAACAGAGAUGAGCUGAGGGUUUUCAGCUUUAAAAAGACAGGAAGCUGAUUUCCUGGAGAAACUGGAGGAUUCUGGACCUUAGAGCACCCCGU